GAUUAUAGUUUAAAAUUUUAAAACAUUUGAUUUGCAAUCAAAAAAUAUUGAAACUCAAUUUAUCUU
rnacentral:tRNA from 1 species